GAUGAAGAACGUAGCGAAAUGCGAUACGUAAUGUGAAUUGCAAAUUCAGUGAAUCAUCGAGUCUUUGAACGCACAUUGCGCCCUUUGGUAUUCCUUAGGGCAUGCCUGUUCGAGCGUCAUUUAAACCUUCAAGCUAAGCUUGGUGUUGGGUGACUGUCCGCUUCACGGCGGACUCGCCUCAAAAUUAUUGGCGGCCGGUACAUUGGCUUCGAGCGCAGCAGAAACGCGAACUCGGGCCCGUCGUAUUGGCUCCCAGAAGCUAUCUUCACAAUUUUGACCUCGGAUCAGGUAGGGAUACCCGCUGAACUUAAGCAUAUCAAUAAGCGGAGGA
rnacentral:misc_RNA from 1 species